GAGGUGCUACAAGGCAGAAGGAUGCCAGAAUUCAGCUUCUGGAGCUGGCCAAGGCAAUGUGUCCCCGGGUUUUCAGACAGGAUAUCACUGGGUGAUGUAG